rnacentral:lncRNA from 1 species
UUUUCUGUUAAGCAUGAUUUAGUUGUGUAUGUUAUAUAAAAACAAUCGUAAAGGAAACUUGUUUAUUACAUGUGUUGUACAAUGACAAAAGCAGAAUGUUAAUCUGUAAGAUACUAUUGAGUAUUUUUCUGAUAUUUAUCUUCAAUACUGAAGUAUCUGGCUUACGAUUUGGUAAGUAUAUUUAUUUAUUUUCCAAAGUAUUCUUAAUACAGAUAAUCAACUUCAAAGAAAUUUUGCUUUUUAUAUAUUUUUUAUGUUUUAGAUAAUCCUGUGCACAAAUGAUUUUGUUUAUCAAAAUUUGCAAUAGAUUGUCCUGUUUUCUUCAUACUUUAACAAACGUUACAUACGUUUCCUGUGUUGCGUUAAGAUAAUACCAAUAAAAGCCUCCAUUUCAAUUGUAUAUAAACAAAAAUAAGCACACGACCUAUCUAUUCAAAAUAAUAAAGAGUGCAGACAAAACAACUAAUAUAAUUCUGACGUGGUGCAGGCAUUUCCUUAAUAUGUAGAAAUGUUUUAUAUAUUAUUAUAAUAGUCUUGUUUUAUGGGGUAUCCAUAAAACGACAAGUCUAGGGUUCUUUGACAUCACUUUAUUUCACAAGUAAACAUAGGGAAUAAAUAAAUAACCCUGCAAUAACAAUAGCAUAUAGUUAUCACAUUUAUCUGUAUCAGUCUUAUUAAAGUAUUAUACUAGAAACAUAUGAAUAUUAUACUGGUGUAAACAACAAUGUUACAAGAUCGUAUAUAAGAUUCUAUUCCAUAUACAAUAAACUAUACUGAGCAUCGAGAAUGCGGUGACAUUCACAAUAUGCAAUAAACUUGCAAUUACAAAUACAUGCUUUUGAUAAGUCGUAUCAAAUAGUAUAUCAUUAUAAUCAAUCAUGCGUAUUAUAAACAAGUCGAAUGUAUCGUACUUCAUAAACGAGUGUCAUUAAUAAAACCUUUAACAUACAAAGGUUAUUAUCUGUUCACUAUAGUAUUCUAUUAUGUUCGUAUGCACUACUGUAAUGUAUAAUAUCUAUGAUAUAAGUAACAUAUAGGUACAAUAUAAUAUGACCCUUACCAAUCUGUGGAACCAGGUUAUAUAUCUAACAUCUACAGUACAACCAGUAUGUUACAGAGACAUCAUAAUCUAUGUGUCCUGAAAAUAAUACACAAUUAUAAAUACUAGGAUCAAGGAAUGUAAUGAUCCCUUAUACAAAAUACAACAUAUUAAAGACUAAUAUAAUAAAAUCAAGCGAUUACACAGAAUAACACUAUAUGGCAAUAUAAACGCAAUGGUCAAUGUGACGUCAUAGAUCCAUAACUGAAAGGUCAAAGUCACUUUCAAAAUCAUUCGUAAAUCUCCCUUUCUACAUUCAAACUACAGAUUCAAAUCAUAUAUUCUCAGAUUAAUACAUAAACUAUCUUAUUCCUAUCAUAUUUAAGGUCUAUGCUCAUACUUACCUAUAAACGGGCAGAAUUGGUAUAGCAAACACUGCAUACAUCUUUCAUUCACCACAAAGAACAUAAAAUCUACCAACCAUAUAUAAAGAACGUAAUUUCCAAUGACAACAUUUGUUCCAAAUUAUGGAAACUUCAGUAAGUAAUAACCGAGCACUAAAUAUAAUGUCUCUAUAUAAGUUUCAUCAUUAAUAUACGGUUUCAAUAAGAAGUAUAUAUCAAAUAUGUAUGUCUCCAAUUUUCAAUAGUUAACCACCAUUACUUCUUUUCCAAAAUCGGAGGUGGGUCAAGAAUGACCAAUAAGAACUGACCAUAUAGGUAAAGGUAUGACAACUAAUUUACUAAUGAGUUGGACAGGUAGAUACUAUUACAACUAUGCCCAAUGAAGUAUGACUGACUAGAACUGUCAUACAUUUUAAAAUGUGAAGAGAUAAUAGACUAUAAAUCAAAAGAUCAAAUAAUCAGAGUGAAGUCAUCAAGUCAUAUAUCUGGCAUGUACUAAAAUAUAAAAUACUAAUGAAUGAAAUACAUAAAAAAUACUCUAUCACAUUAUUUCGAACAAUCUUUUUUUACUUAUUUAUAAAUCAAUGAUUGUGUUGUUAUAAAUAUUAGUUUUGUAUUUUAUAGCAUGUGGACUGAGAUGUCCAUCUGUGCCAUAUAGAAAGUCAUUGUAAGAUCUUAUGUCAACCGCAUAGCUGUGGUAUCGAUUAUCUGUGCUGUUCUAUUGGUUGUGGUAAAGAGUGCGGAAAAGGAAUUCGGAGAUGUGAAUAAAACUCGCACUUAAAAAAAUAAUUAGUAAGAUUGUAAGACAUUGUUACACUUUACAUUGCUGAUUAUACCGAAUAAAUGUCUA